rnacentral:rRNA from 1 species
CUGUAGCUUGAUAUUGAAUUUAUUGUUUAGUUGCUCAGCAUAGCGAGGAGGCUUUGAAACUGUGCUUUUGGGUAUAGUGGAGCCGACAGUGAGAUACUCGCUUUCUUAAUGGUAAAUUCUAAUCCCUUUAUUGGGAGAAAGUAUCUGGUAGGCAGUUUGAAUGGGGCGUUCUCCUCUAAAAAGGUAACGGAGGAGUAUUUUAAGGUCAGCUAAGCGCGGAUGGAAAUCGCGCNNACUCUGGGGAUAACAGGCUAGUUGCGCCCGAGCGUCCAUAGCGACGGCGCAGUUCGGCACCUCGAUGUCGGCUCAAGAUAUCCUGGGGGUGCACAAGCUCCCAAGGGUUCGGCUGUUCGCCGAUUAAAGUGGCACGCGAGCUGGGUUCAAAACGUCGUGAGACAGUUUGGUCCCUAUCCGCCGUGGGCGUAGGAUACUUGAGGAGAGCUUUCCCUAGUACGAGAGGACCGGGAAGGACGCACCGCUAGUGUUCCGGUUGUGGCGCCAGCCGCAGCGCCGGGUAGCUAUGUGCGGACAGGAUAACCGCUGAAAGCAUAUAAGCGGGAAGCCCCCUCCAAGAUAAGGUAUCCCGGGGUGUAAGCCCCCUAAAGACCCCUCGUAGACUACGAGGUUGAUAGGCCGGAUGUGGAAGGCCAGUAAUGGUUGAAGCUUACCGGUACUAAUUGGUCGUGCGGCUUGACCAU